ensembl:lncRNA
CAGUGAGCUAUGAUCAUGCACUCAAAACUGAGUAACAGAGCCAGACCCUCCCUCCCUCCCUCCCUCUCUCCCUGUCUCUCUCUCUCUCUCAAGUCGGAAAGACUGGACUCCUCCAAUUCAUCUGCUUACUGAAAGCAUGCAGCAGCUCCUCCUUGCUUCUUCCGGAUAAUCCUCUAAUCUCUGGUUAAACUUAUUUAUUUAUUUAGAGCAAGCCAGCUGACUUUUUAUUGCUUUGUGGGCAGAGGGCUCAGGAGCUCUUGGUGGGGCGGGUUCACUUCUUCUCUCUGGCUGCGCAGGAUGGCAGAAGGACGGCUGUGGCUGGCUGCCAUGCGCAGGUCGGGCGGUACUUGAUUUUUUCCGCAUCACGUGUCUGAUGGCGCUGGGCGAGGCGCGGGCAUUCUUGAUGGUGGUCCGCACGGAGGAGGUGGCAGGCUUCCGCCGGCCAGAUCUCUGCUUCAUGACCACCACGACACCUUUGCCGUUGGCUGGUGGCUCCAUGCCCACAGUCUGGCGGUGAAGUAACCCGUGGUAGCGGAAUGAGUUGUGGGCCUGCAAGUUAUGGGGCUCUGUGCUGUAGGUCCGCUUACUCCUUUUGAUCAAUCAGGAAAGCGGAGCAGUUCCGCAGGACCAUCCAUUGCGGGGCAGACUUGGCGGCGGCUCCUCUCGCAGCUGCCUCGGGUGCUUUUUAAAAGGAAUGGGUAUGAGAUCCAAUUCCAUAUAAUGUAAGAUGGUGACAGAUAUGUGGGAAGUUUCUGAAACUAUGAGGAUCCAGUUGCUCCCUCCUACCAAAUGUGAACAAGAAAGCACCGCAACUCUGACUGGUACUGUGGCCAUCCUGUGAUUAACGUGGAAUGGACUUCAGCACUGAGCUUUCAUUCUGAAGGCAGAGUGAAAAGACUAAUAGAACUUAGACCUAGGUCGAUGUAUUGAACCAUGGCAUGCAACAAUGCUGAAGCCCUCACUAUAUCUAGACUUUCUGAUAGAUGAGCCA